rnacentral:rRNA from 1 species
UACAGAGGUCUCAAGCGUUGUUCGGAAUCACUGGGCGUAAAGGGUGCGUAGGCCGCACGGUAAGUCAGAGGUGAAAUCCCGGAGCUCAACUUCGGAAUUGCCUCCGAUACUGCCAUGCUUGAGGACUGGAGAGGAGAUUGGAAUUCACAGUGGAGCAGUGAAAUGCGUAGAUAUUGUGAGGAACACUAGUGGCGAAGGCGAAUCUCUGGACAGUUCCUGACGCUGAGGCACGAAGGCCAGGGGAGCAAACGGG